rnacentral:rRNA from 1 species
UACGUAGGCAGCAAGCGUUGUUCGGAGUUACUGGGCGUAAAGGGUGCGUAGGCGGCCUUAUAAGUAUGGUGUGAAAUCUCCCGGCUUAACUGGGAGGGUGCGCUAUAGACUGUGGGGCUAGAGUGUGGGAGAGGAAAGUGGAAUUCCUGGUGUAGCGGUGAAAUGCGUAGAUAUCAGGAGGAACACCGGUGGUGUAAACGGCUUUCUGGACCAUAACUGACGCUGAGGCACGAAAGCGUGGGUAGCAAACGGG